rnacentral:rRNA from 1 species
GAUGAACGCUGGCGGCGUGCCUAAUACAUGCAAGUCGAGCGAACAGACGAGGAGCUUGCUCCUCUGACGUUAGCGGCGGACGGGUGAGUAACACGUGGAUAACCUACCUAUAAGACUGGGAUAACUUCGGGAAACCGGAGCUAAUACCGGAUAAUAUAUUGAACCGCAUGGUUCAAUAGUGAAAGACGGUUUUGCUGUCACUUAUAGAUGGAUCCGCGCCGCAUUAGCUAGUUGGUAAGGUAACGGCUUACCAAGGCAACGAUGCGUAGCCGACCUGAGAGGGUGAUCGGCCACACUGGAACUGAGACACGGUCCAGACUCCUACGGGAGGCAGCAGUAGGGAAUCUGCCGCAAUGGGAGAAAGCCUGACGGAGCAACGCCGCGGGAGUGAUGAAGGUCUUCGGAUCGUAAAACUCUGUUAUUAGGGAAGAACAAAUGUGUAAGUAACUAUGCACGUCUUGACGGUACCUAAUCAGAAAGCCACGGCUAACUACGUG